rnacentral:rRNA from 1 species
CGGGACGGGUGAGUAAUGUCUGGAACUGCCUGAUGGAGGGGAUAACUACUGGAACGGUAGCUAAUACCGCAUAACGUCGCAAGACCAAAGAGGGGGACCUUCGGGCCUCUUGCCAUCGGAUGUGCCCAGAUGGGAUUAGCUAGUAGGUGGGGUAACGGCUCACCUAGGCGACGAUCCCUAGCUGGUCUGAGAGGAUGACCAGCCACACUGGAACUGAGACACGGUCCAG